UGGGGAAUAUUGCACAAUGGGCGAAAGCCUGAUGCAGCGACGCCGCGUGAGGGAUGACGGCCUUCGGGUUGUAAACCUCUUUCAGUAGGGAAGAAGCGAAAGUGACGGUACCUGCAGAAGAAGCGCCGGCUAACUACGUGCCAGCAGCCGCGGUAAUACGUAGGGCGCAAGCGUUAUCCGGAAUUAUUGGGCGUAAAGAGCUCGUAGGCGGUUUGUCGCGUCUGCUGUGAAAGGCCAGGGCUCAACCCUGGUUCUGCAGUGGGUACGGGCAGACUUGAGUGAUGUAGGGGAGACUGGAAUUCCUGGUGUAGCGGUGAAAUGCGCAGAUAUCAGGAGGAACACCGAUGGCGAAGGCAGGUCUCUGGGCAUUAACUGACGCUGAGGAGCGAAAGCAUGGGGAGCGAACAGG
rnacentral:rRNA from 2 species